CCAUGCCGCGUGAGUGAAGAAGGCCUUCGGGUUGUAAAGCUCUUUCGGCGGGGACGAAAAGGUCCGUGCUAAUACCAUGGAUCCAUGACGGUACCCGCAGAAGAAGCACCGGCUAACUACGUGCCAGCAGCCGCGGUAAUACGUAGGGUGCAGGCGUUAAUCGGAAUUACUGGGCGUAAAGCGUGCGCAGGCGGUCUGCUAAGACAGGUGUGAAAUCCCCGGGCUUAACCUGGGAACUGCGCUUGUUACCGGCAGGCUUGAGUGUGGCAGAGGGGGGUGGAAUUCCACGUGUAGCAGUGAAAUGCGUAGAGAUGUGGAGGAACACCGAUGGCGAAGGCAGCCCCCUGGGCUAACACUGACGCUCAUGCACGAAAGCGUGGGGAGCAAACAGGAUUAGAUACCCUGGUAGUCCACGCCCUAAACUAUGUCAACUGGUUGUCGGGGAAGCAAUUCCUUGGUAACGAAGCUAACGCGUGAAGUUGACCGCCUGGGGAGUACGGCCGCAAGGUUA
rnacentral:rRNA from 1 species